AGAGUUUGAUCCUGGCUCAGCCUGAACGCUGGCGGCGUGGCUAAGACAUGCAAGUCGCACGGUGGUAGCAAUACCACAGUGGCGAACGGGUGAGUAAUGAAUCGCUAACGUACCCCGGACUCCGGGAUAGCUACCCGAAAGGGUAGGUAAUACCGGGUAACAUCACCGCGAGGCAUCUCGUGGUGCUCGAAGGUCCGCCGGUCUGGGAGCGGGCGAUUUCGUAUCAGCUAGUUGGUGGGGUAACGGCCCACCAAGGCGACGACGCGUAGCCGGACUGAGAGGUUGGCCGGCCACAUCGGGACUGAGACACUGCCCGGACUCCUACGGGGGGCUGCAGUAACGAAUCUUCCGCAAUGCACGAAAGUGUGACGGAGCGACGCCGCGUGUGGGACGAAGCCCUUCGGGGUGUAAACCACUGUCAGGGGCUACCAAGUUCUGAGGGGCCCCAGAGGAAGGCACGGCUAACUCUGUGCCAGCAGCCGCGGUAAGACAGAGGUGCCGAGCGUUAGGCGGAAUCACUGGGCUUAAAGCGUGUGUAGGCGGGCCGUUAAGUGCCUCGUGAAAUCCCCCGGCUCAACCGGGGAACCGCGGGGCAUACUGGCGGUCUUGAGAGGCCUAGGGGCGAGCGGAACAAGCGGUGGAGCGGUGAAAUGCGUAGAUAUCGCUUGGAACGCCGACGGUGAAAACAGCUCGCUGGGGGCCGUCUGACGCUGAGACACGAAAGCCAGGGGAGCGAACGGGAUUAGAUACCCCGGUAGUCC
rnacentral:rRNA from 1 species